rnacentral:rRNA from 1 species
AUGAACGCUAGCGACAGGCUUAACACAUGCAAGUCGAGGGGCAGCGGGGUGUAGCAAUACACUGCCGGCGACCGGCGCACGGGUGAGUAACGCGUAUGCAACUUGCCUAUCAGAGGGGGAUAACCCGGCGAAAGUCGGACUAAUACCGCAUGAAGCAGGGGCCCCGCAUGGGGAUAUUUGCUAAAGAUUCAUCGCUGAUAGAUAGGCAUGCGUUCCAUUAGGCAGUUGGCGGGGUAACGGCCCACCAAACCGACGAUGGAUAGGGGUUCUGAGAGGAAGGUCCCCCACAUUGGUACUGAGACACGGACCAAACUCCUACGGGAGGCAGCAGUGAGGAAUAUUGGUCAAUGGGCGCGAGCCUGAACCAGCCAAGUCGCGUGAGGGAUGAAGGUUCUAUGGAUCGUAAACCUCUUUUAUAAGGGAAUAAAGUGCGGGACGUGUCCCGUUUUGUAUGUACCUUAUGAAUAAGGAUCGGCUAACUCCGUGCCAGCAGCCGCGGUAAUACGGAGGAUCCGAGCGUUAUCCGGAUUUAUUGGGUUUAAAGGGUGCGUAGGCGGCCUUUUAAGUCAGCGGUGAAAGUCUGUGGCUCAACCAUAGAAUUGCCGUUGAAACUGGGGGGCUUGAGUAUGUUUGAGGCAGGCGGAAUGCGUGGUGUAGCGGUGAAAUGCUUAGAUAUCACGCAGAACCCCGAUUGCGAAGGCAGCCUGCCAAGCCAUGACUGACGCUGAUGCACGAAAGCGUGGGGAUCAAACAGGAUUAGAUACCCUGGUAGUCCACGCAGUAAACGAUGAUCACUAGCUGUUUGCGAUACAGUGUAAGCGGCACAGCGAAAGCGUUAAGUGAUCCACCUGGGGAGUACGCCGGCAACGGUGAAACUCAAAGGAAUUGACGGGGGCCCGCACAAGCGGAGGAACAUGUGGUUUAAUUCGAUGAUACGCGAGGAACCUUACCCGGGUUUGAACGCAUUCGGACCGAGGUGGAAACACCUUUUCUAGCAAUAGCCGUUUGCGAGGUGCUGCAUGGUUGUCGUCAGCUCGUGCCGUGAGGUGUCGGCUUAAGUGCCAUAACGAGCGCAACCCUUGCCACUAGUUACUAACAGGUGAUGCUGAGGACUCUGGUGGGACUGCCAGCGUAAGCUGCGAGGAAGGCGGGGAUGACGUCAAAUCAGCACGGCCCUUACAUCCGGGGCGACACACGUGUUACAAUGGCGUGGACAAAGGGAAGCCACCUGGCGACAGGGAGCGAAUCCCCAAACCACGUCUCAGUUCGGAUCGGAGUCUGCAACCCGACUCCGUGAAGCUGGAUUCGCUAGUAAUCGCGCAUCAGCCAUGGCGCGGUGAAUACGUUCCCGGGCCUUGUACACACCGCCCGUCAAGCCAUGGGAGCCGGGGGUACCUGAAGUCCGUAACCGCGAGGAUCGGCCUAGGGUAAAACUGGUGACUGGGGCU